UAUGGUUAUCUCUCUAUUGCAUAAGAUGCAAGCACCAAAUAAUUGCUUUACUUUAUCGCUAUGCGAUAGCAAUAGUUGCAAGAGCAAUUGUUGGCGAGACAACCAUGUGACGACACAUUGAUAUAGAUCAAGAUGAUGGAGAUCAUGGUGUCAUGCCGGUGACGAUGGAGAUCAUGACGAUGCUUUGGAGAUGGAGAUCAAAGGCAGAAGAUGAUGAUGGCCAUAUCAUGUCACAUAUUAUGAUUGCAUGUGAUGUUUACCUUUUAUACAUCUUAUUUUGCUUAGUUCGGCGGUAGCUUUAUAAGAUAAUCUCUCACUAAAUUAUCAAGGUAUAAGUGUUCUCCCUGAGUAUGCACCGUUGCGAAAGUUCUUCGUGCUGAGACACCACGUGAUGAUCGGGUGUGAUAGGCUCUACGUUCAAAUACAAUGGGUGCAAAACAGUUGCACACGCGGAAAACUCGGGUUAAACUUGACGAGCCUAGCAUAUAACAGAUAUGGCCUCGGAACACGGAGACUGAAAGGUCGAGCAUGAAUCAUAUAGUAGAUAUGAUCAACAUAGCGAUGUUCACCAUUGAAACUACUCCAUCUCACAUGAUGAUCGGACAUGGUUUAGUUGAUAUGGAUCACAUGAUCACUUAGAAGAUUAGAGGGAUGUCUGUCUAAGUGGGAGUUCUUAAGUAAUAUGAUUAAUUGAACUUUAAUUUAUCAUGAACUUAGUCCUGGUAGUAUUAGCAUAUCUAUGUUGUAGAUCAAUAGCUUGCGAUGUUUCUCCCAGUUUAUUGUGUUCCUAGAGAAAAAUUAUGUUGAAAAAUGUUAGUAGCAAUGAUGCGGAUUGGAUCCAUGAUCUGAGGAUUAUCCUCACUGCUGCACAGAAGAAUUAUGUCUUUGAUGCACCGCUAGGUGACAUACCUAUUGCAGGAGUAGUUGUAGACGUUAUGAACGUUUGGCUAGCUCAAUAUGAUGACUACUUGAUAGUUUAGUGCACCAUGCUUAACGGCUUAGAAUCGGGACUUCAAAGACGUUUUGAAUGUCAUGGACCAUAUGAGAUGUUCCAGGAGUUGAAGUUAAUAUUUCAAGCAAAUACUCGAGUUGAGAGAUAUGAAGUCUUCAACAAGUUCUAUAGCUAAAAUAUGGAGGAGAAUAUCUGAAACAGUGAGCAUGUGCUCAGAUUGUCUGGGUACUACAAUUGCUUGAAUCAAGUGGGAGUUAAUCUUCCAGAUAAGAUAGUGAUUGACAGAAUUCUCUAGUCACCAUCACCAAGUUAGUAGAACUUCAUGAUGAACUAUGAUAUGCAAGGCAUAACGGAAACGAUUCCCAAGCUCUUUGUGAUGCUGAAAUCGACGAAGGUAGAAAUCAAGAAAAAUAUCAAGUGUUGAUGGUAGACAAGACCACUAGUUUCAAGAAAAGGGCAAAGGGAAGAAGGGGAACUUCAAGAAGAACGGCAAGCAAGUUGCUGCUCAAGUGAAGAAGCCCAAGUCUGGUCCUAAGCCUGAGACCAAGUGCUUCUACUGCAAAGGGACGGGUCACUGGAAGCGGAACUGCCCCAAGUAUUUGGCGGAUAAGAAGGAUGGCAAAGUGAACAAAGGUAUAUUUGAUAUACUGAUUAUUGAUGUGUAUUUUACUAGUGUUCAUGGCAACCCCUCGGUAUUUGAUACUGGUUCAGUUGCUAAGAGUAGUAACUUGAAACAGGAAUUGCAGAAUGAACAGAGACUAGUUAAGGGUGAAGUGACGAUGUGUGUUGGAAGUGGUUCCAAGAUUGAUAUGAUCACAUCACACACUCCCUAUACUUUCGGGAUAGUGUUGAACCUAAAUAAGUGUUAUUUGGUGUUUGCGUUGAGCAUGAAUAUGAUUUGAUCAUGUUUAUUGCAAUACGGUUAUUCAUUUAAGUAAGAGAAUAAAUUGUUGUUCUGUUUACAUGAAUAAAAUCUUAUAUGGUUACACACCCAAUGAAAAUGGUUCGUUGGAUCUCGAUCGUAGUGAUACACAUAUUCAUAAUAUUGAAACCAAAAGAUGCAAAGUUAAUAAUGAUAGUGCAACUUAUUUGUGGCACUGCCGUUUAGGUCAUAUUGGUGUAAAGCGCAUGAAGAAACUCCAUGCUGAUGGACUUUUGGAAUCACUUGAUGCUUGCGAACCAUGCCUCAUGGGCAAGAUGACUAAGACUCCGUUCUCCGGAACAAUGGGGCAAGCAACUAACUUAUUGGAAACAAUACAUACUGAUGUAUGCGGUCCGACGAGUGUUAAGGCUCACGGCAAGUAUCGUUAUUUUCUGACCUUCACAGAUGAUUUGAGCAGAUAUGGGUAUAUCUACUUGAUGAAACACAAGUCUAAAACACUUGAAAAGUUCAAAGAAUUUCAGAGUGAAGUGGAGAAUCAUCGUAACAAGAAAAUAAAAGUUUCUACGAUAUGAUCGCAGAGGUAAAAUAUUUGAGUUAAGUUUGGCCUUCAGUUAAAACAAUGUGAAAUAGUUUCACUACUCACGCCACCUGGAACACCACAGUGUAAUGGUGUGUCCGAACGUCAUAACCGUACUUUAUUAGAUAUGGUGCGAUCUAUGAUGUCUCUUACCGAUCUACCACUAUCGUUUUGGGGUUAUGCAUUAGAGACAACUGCAUUCACGUUAAAUAGGGCACCAUCUAAAUCCGUUGAGACGACGCCGUAUGAACUAUGGUUUGGCAAGAAACCUAAGCUGUCGUUUCUUAAAGUUUGAGGUUGCAAUGCUUAUGUGAAAAAGUUUCAACCUGAUAAGCUCAAACCCAAAUUGGAGAAGUGCGUCUUCAUAGGAUACCCAAAAGAAAAUAUUGGGUACACCUUCUAUCACAGAUCCGAAGGCAAGAUAUUCGUUGCUGAGAAUGGAUCCUUUCUAGAGAAGGAGUUUCUCUCGAAAGAAGUGAGUAGGAGGAAAGUAGAACUUGAUGACGUAACUGUACCUGCUCCCUUAUUAGAAAGUAGUUCAUCGCAGAAAUCUAUUCCUGUGACUACUACACCAAUUAGUGAGGAAGCUAAUGAUGAUGAUCAUGUAACUUCAGAUCAAGUUACUACAGAACCUUGUAGGUAAACCAGAGUGAGAUCCGCACCAGAGUGGUACAGUAAUCCUGUUCUGGAGGUCAUGUUACUUGACCAUGACGAGCCUACGAACUAUGAGGAAGCGAUGAUGAGCCCAGAUUCCGCAAAAUGGCUUGAGGCCAUGAAAUCUGAGAUGAGAUCCAUGUAUGAGAACAAAGUAUGGACUUUGAUUGACUUGCCCAUUGAUCGGCGAGCCAUUGAGAUUAAAUGGAUCUUCAAGAGGAAGACGGACGCUGAUAGUAGUGUUACUAUCUACAAAGCUAGAAUUGUCGCAAAAAGGUUUUCGACAAGUUCAAGGUGUUGACUAUGAUGAGAGUUUCUCAUUCGUAUAUAUGCUUAAGUCUGUCUGAAUCAUGUUAGCAAUUGCCGCAUUUUAUGAAAUCUGACAAAUGGAUAAACAAAACUGCAUUCCUUAAUGGAUUUAUCAAAGAAGAGUUGUAUAUGAUGCAACCAGAAGGUUUUGUCAAUCCUAAAGGUACUAACAAAAUAUGCAAGCUCCAGCGAUCCAUUUAUGGAUUGGUGCAAGCAUCUCGGAGUUGGAAUAUACGCUUUGAUAAGUUAAUCAAAGCAUAUAGUUUUAUACAUACUUGCGGUGAAGCCUAUAUUUAUAAGAAAGUGAGUGGGAGCACUACAGCAUUUCUGAUAAGUAUAUGUGAAUGACAUAUUGUUUCGGAGAUAAUGUAGAAUUAUUCUGCAAAGCAUAAAGGAAUGUUUGAAAGGAGUUUUUUAAAGAAAGACCUCGGUGAAGCUGCUUACAUAUUGAGCAUCAAGAUCUAUAGAGAUAGAUCAAGACGCUUGAUAAGUUUUUCAAUGAGUACAUACCUUGACAAGAUUUUGAAGUAGUUCAAAAUGGAACAGUCAAAGAAGGAGUUCUUGCCUAUGUUACAAGGUGUGAAGUUGAGUAAGACUCAAAACCCGACCUCAGCAGAAGAUAGAGAGAGAAUGAAAGUCAUUCCCUAUGCCUCAGCCAUAGGUUCUAUAAAGUAUGACAUGCUGUGUACCAGACCUAUUGUAUACCCUACCCUGAGUUUGGCAAGGGAGUACACUAGUGAUCUAGGAGUAGAUCACUGGACAUUGGUCAAAAUUAUCCUUAGUGGAAUAAGGAUAUGUUUCUCGAUUAUGGAGGUGACAAAAGGUUCGUUGUAAAGGGUUACGUUGAUGCAAGUUUUGACACUGAUCCAGAUGACUCAAAGUCUCAAUCUGCAUACAUAUUGAAAGUGGGAGCGAUUAGCUAGAGUAGCUCCGUGCAGAGCAUUGUUGACAUAGCAAUUUGCAAAAUACAUACGGAUCUAAAUGUGGCAGACCCGUUGACUAAACUUCCUCACAAGCAAAACAUGAUCACACCUUAGUACUCUUUGGGUAUUAAUCACAUAGCGAUGUGAACUAGAUUAUUGACUCUAGUAAACCCUUUGGGUAUUGGUCACAUGACGAUGUGAACUAUAGGUGUUAAUCACAUGGUAAUGUGAACUAUUGAUGUUAAAUCACAUGGCGAUGUGAACUAGAUUAUUGACUCAAGUGCAAGUGGGAGACUAAAGGAAAUAUGCCCUAUAGGCAAUAAUAAAGUUAUUAUUUAUUUCCUUAUAUCAUGAUAAAUGUUUAUUAUUCAUGCUAGAAUUGUAUUAACCGGAAACAUAAUACAUGUGUGAAUACAUAGACAAACAGAGUGUCACUAGUAUGCCUCUACUUGACUAGCUCGUUAAUAAAAGAUGGUUAUGUUUCCUAACCAUGAACAAAGAGUUGUUAUUUGAUUAACGGGAUCACAUCAUUAGGAGAAUUAUGUGAUUGACUUGACCCAUUCUGUUAGCUUAGCACUUGAUCGUUUAGUUUGUUGCUAUUGCUUUCUUCAUGACUUAUACAUGUUCCUAUGACUAUGAGAUUAUGCAACUCCCGUUUACCGGAGGAACACUUUGUGUGCUACCAAACAUCACAACGUAACUGGGUGAUUAUAAAGGUGCUCUAUAGGUGUCUCCAAAGGUACUUGUUGGGUUGGCGUAUUUCGAGAUUAGGAUUUGUCACUCCGAUUGUCGGAGAGGUAUCUCUAGGCCCACUCGGUAAUGCACAUCACUAUAAGCCUUGCAAGCAUUGAAACUAAUAAGUUAGUUGCGCGAUGAUGUAUUAUGGAACGAGUAAAGAGACUUGCCGGUAACGAGAUUGAACUAGGUAUUGAGAUACCGACAAUCGAAUCUCGGGCAAGUGACAUACCGAUGACAAAGGGAAUAACGUAUGUUGUUAUGCGGUCUGACCGAUAAAGAUCUUCGUAGAAUAUGUAGGAGCCAAUAUGAGCAUCCAGGUUCCGCUAUUGGUUAUUAACCGGAGAAUUGUCUCGGUCAUGUCUACAUAGUUCUCGAACCCGUAGGGUCCGCACGCUUAAUGCUACGAUGACAGUUAUAUUAUGAGUUUUAUGUUUUGAUGUACCGAAGGUUGUUCGGAGUACCGUAUGUGAUCACGGACAUGACGAGGAGUCUCCAAAUGGUCGAGACAUGAAGAUUGAUAUAUUGGAAGCCUAUGUUUGGAUAUCGGAAGUGUUCCGGGUGAAAUCGGGAUUUUACCGGAGUACCGGGGGGUUACCGGAACCCCCCGGGGGCUUACUGGGCCUACAUGGGCCUUAGUGGAAAAGGAGGGAAGCAAGGGAAGUGUGGGGCGCCCCCCCCCCCAAGGCCCAAACCGAAUUGGUUUAGGGCAAAGGGGGCCGGGCCCCCUCUUUCGUUCUUCCCCCUCCCAAGUCCUAAUCCAACUAGGGAAAGGGGGGGUCCUACUCCCGGCGGGAGUAGGACUCCUCCGGCGCGCCUCUCCCCUUGGCCGGCCACACCCCCCUUUCUCCUUUAUAUACAGGGGCAGGGGGCACCCCAUAGACACAACAAGUUGAUCAAGUUGAUCGUCUCUUAGCCGUGUGCGGUGCCCCCCUCCACCAUAGUCCACCUCGAUAAUACUGUAGCGGUGCUUAGGCGAAGCCCUGCGUCGGUAGAACAUCAUCAUCGUCACCACACCGUCGUGCUGACGAAACUCUCCCUCAACACUCGGCUGGAUCGGAGUUCGAGGGACGUCAUCGGGUUGCACGUGUGCUGAACUCGGAGGUGCCGUGCGUUCGGUACUUGAUCUGUCGGAUCGUGAAGACGUACGACUACAUCAACCGCGUUAUGAUAACGCUUCCGCUUUCGGUCUAUGAGGGUACGUAGACAAUACUCUCCCCUCUCGUUGCUAUGCAUCACCAUGAUCUUGCGUGUGCGUAGGAAAUUUUUUGAAAUUACUAUGUUCUCCAACAGUACUCCUACAUGGCCUCUCAUCGCUACCUUUACCAAAACGUGUUCACACACUUAGCCUUUAUCAGUAGGACAUGUUCACCACUCCGAUUCAUUCCCGAUGAAUCAGACCUGACACAACUCUAAGCAUAGCUGGCAUAAAGAAAACAAGCAUGGAUGAGUAGGCACAUCAAGGCUCAAGCAACUCCUAAUCAUGCUAGUGGGUUUCAACUAUUUACUGUGGCAAUGACAGGUCAUGCAGAGGAAUGGGUUCAACUACCGCAGAAGAAAAGUAGCAGUUGAAUCGUUGUUGUCCUAAUGCAGUAUAAGGAGCAGGAGCGAGAGAGUGGGAUUUUAUCGAAAUGCUCAAGGGGGAUUGCUUGCCUGAUAGAUCAACGAAGGGCACUGCUCCUCCGACAGUUACUCGGGAACACCUUCCGGAGUAGAACCUAUUGAGAAGAAACGGUGUCGGCAAUCAAUACACAAAAAAUGCAACAAUAUGAUGCAUGAACAUGAUAUGUGCAAAUGCUAGUGUUUGGGCUAAUGCAAGAUGCUACCAAGUUGGUUGAAGCCCAUUUGAAUCAAAGAUUCAAAUGCAAAUUCAAAAUGAAGCAUUUAAAAUGCCCACAUUAUGAUUUCACUUAUACAGCAUGUAUAAGUUGGUUUUUCAUGCAUGGAACUGGCAUAAAUGGAUUCCUUGCAUUUUUUUGAUAAUUUUUAAUAUAUAAAUUAUUUCAUUCUGAGCUACGGUUGAUUUCUAUGAAUUUUUGAAGUUUAGCUAAUUUUCUGGAAUUUCCUGAUUUAUUUUAAUACCAGAAAAUGAAUAGCUGCGUCAGCAUGACAGUGGCAUGACGUCAACGAGUCAAACGGGGCUGACCAGGUCAAACCUGACGUGUGGGGUCCACACGUCAGUGUCUCGGUUAAUUAACAGAGGUUAAUUAGCACUAACACUAACCUAACUACAGAUUUAGUCAGAGAUAGGCCCCACCUGUCAUUGAUGUUGGGGAACGUUGCAGAAAAUUAAAAUUUUUCCUACGGUUUCACCAAGAUCCAUCUAUGAGUUCAUCUAAGCAACGAGUCAAGGGAGAGAGUUAGCAUCUACAUACCACUUGUAGAUCGCGUGCGGAAGCUUGCAAGGUGAUGAUGUAGUCGUACUCGACGUGAUUCGAAUCACCGAUGACCAAGUGCUGAACGGACAGCACCUCCGCGUUCAGCACACGUACGGGACGGGAGACGUCUCCUCCUUCUUGAUCCAGCAAGGAGGAAGGAGAGGUUGAGGAAGACAGCUCCACCGGCAGCACGACGGCGUGGUGAUGGUGGAGAGGCAGUACUCCGACAGGGCUUUGCCAAGCACACAACGGAGGAGGAGAGGUGUUGGGGAGGGGAGGGCUGCGCCUUGGAGGAUGGUGCGGCUGCCCUCCCCUCACCCCUCUAUUUAUAGGGGGAAGGGAGAAGGGGGCCGGCCCCCUAGAACCCAUCUAGGGGGGGUGCGGCGGCCAAGGGGAGAGGGGGAGAGGGUGGCUUGCCCCCAAAGCCAAGGGGGGCGCCCCCUCUAGGGUUCCCCCCUCAACCCUAGGCGCAUGGGCCCAAGGGAGGGGGUGCGGCCAGCCCACCAGGGGCUGGCUCCCUGCCCCACGCAGCCCAUGUGCCCCCCGGGAGGGGUGGCCCCUCCCGGUGGACCCCCGGAACCCUUCCGGUGGCCCCGGUACAAUACCGGUAUGACCCCGAAACUUCCCGGUGUCCGUUUGACAACUUCCCAUAUAUAAAUCUUUACCUCCGGACCCUUCCGGAGCUCCUCGUGACGUCCAGGAUCCCAUCCGGGACUCCGAACAACAUUCGGUAGUCACAUACUAGUCUUCCUAAUGACCCUAGCGUCACCGAACCUUAAGUGUGUAGACCCUACGGGUUCGGGAGACAUGCAGACAUGACCGAGACGCUCUCAGGUCAAUAACCAACAGCGGGAUCUGGAUACCCAUGAUGGCUCCCACAUGCUCCUCGAUGUUGUCAUCGGAUGAACCACUAUGUCGAGGAUUCGAUCAAACCCUGUAUGCAAUUCCCUUUGUCAAUCGAUACGUUACUUGCCCGAGACUCGAUCGUCGGUAUCCCAAUACCUUGUUCAGUCUCGUUACCGGCAAGUCACUUUACUCGUACCGUAAUGCAUGAUCCCGUGUCCAACACCUUGGUCACAUUGAGCUCAUUAUGAUGAUGCAUUACCGAGUGGGCCCAAAGAUACCUCUCCGUCAUACGGAGUGACAAAUCCCAGUCUCGAUCCGUGUCAACCCAACAGCUACUUUCGGAGAUACCUGUAAUGCACCUUUAUAGUCAGCCAGUUACGUUGUGACGUUUGAUACACCCAAGGCACUCUUACGGUAUCCGGGAGUUACACGAUCUCAUGGUCAAAGGAAGAGAUACUUGACAUUGGCAAAGCUCUAGCAAAACGAACUACACGAUCUUUUAUGCUAUGCUUAGGAUUGGGUCUUGUCCAUCACAUCAUUCUCCUAAUGAUGUGAUCCCGUUAUCAACGACAUCCAAUGUCCAUAGUCAGGAAACCAUGACUAUCUGUUGAUCACAACGAGCUAGUCAACUAGAGGCUCACCAGGGACAUAUUGUGGUCUAAGUAUUCACACGUGUAUUACGAUUUCCGGAUAAUACAGUUAUAGCAUGAAUAAAAGACAUUUAUCAUGAACAUUGAAAUAUAAUAAUACUUUUAUUAUUGCCUCUAGGGCAUAUUUCCAACAGUCUCCCACUUGCACUAGAGUCACUAAUCUAGUUACAUUGUGAUGAAUCGAACACCCAUAGAGUUCUGGUGUUGAUCAUGUUUUGCACGCGAGAGAGGUUUAGUCAGCGGAUCUGCGACAUUCAGAUCCAUGUGCACUUUGCAAAUCUCUAUGUCUCCAUCUUGAACAUUUUCACGGAUGGAGUUGAAACGACGCUUGAUGUGCCUGGUCUUCUUGUGAAACCUGGGCUCCUUUGCGAGGGCAAUAGCUCCAGUGUUAUCACAGAAGAGUUUGAUCGGCCCCGACGCAUUGGGUAUGACUCCUAGGUCGGUGAUGAACUCCUUCACCCAAAUCGCUUCAUGCGCUGCCUCCGAGGCUGCCAUGUACUCCGCUUCACACGUAGAUCCCGCCACGACGCUCUGCUUGCAGCUGCACCAGCUUACUGCUCCACCAUUCAACAUAUACACGUAUCCGGUUUGUGACUUAGAGUCAUCCAGAUCUGAGUCGAAGCUAGCGUCGACGUAACCCUUUACGACGAGCUCUUCGUCUCCUCCAUAAACGAGAAACAUGUCCUUCGUCCUUUUCAGGUACUUCAGGAUAUUCUUGACCGCUGUCCAGUGUUCCUUGCCGGGAUUACUUUGGUAUCUUGCUACCAAACUUACGGCAAGGUUUACAUCGGGUCUGGUACACAGCAUGGCAUACAUAAUAGAUCCUAUGGCUGAAGCAUAGGGGAUGACACUCAUCUCUUAUUUAUCUUUUGCCGUGGUCGGUGACUGAGCCGAGCUCAGUCUCACACCUUGUAACAUAGGCAAGAACCCCUUCUUGGACUGAUCCAUUUUGAACCUCUUCAAAAUCUUAUCAAGGUAUGUGCUUUGUGAAAGACCUAUGAGGCGUCUCGAUCUAUCUCUAUAGAUCUUGAUGCCUAAUAUAUAAGCAGCUUCUCCAAGGUCCUUCAUUGAAAAACACUUAUUCAAGUAGGCCUUAAUGCUGUCCAGAAAUUCUAUAUUAUUUCCCAUCAAGAGUAUGUCAUCUACAUAUAAUAUGAGAAAUGCUACAGAGCUCCCACUCACUUUCUUGUAAACGCAGGCUUCUCCAUAAGUCUGCAUAAACCCAAAUGCUUUGAUCAUCUCAUCAAAGCGAAUGUUCCAACUCCGAGAUGCUUGCACCAGUCCAUAAAUGGAUCGCUGGAGCUUGCAUACUUUGUUAGCGUUCCGAGGAUCGACAAAACCUUCCGGCUGCAUCAUAUACAGCUCUUCCUUAAGAUGUCCGUUAAGGAAUGCCGUUUUGACGUCCAUCUGCCAUAUCUCAUAAUCAUAGUAUGCGGCAAUUGCUAACAUGAUUCGGACGGACUUCAGCUUCGCUACGGGAGAGAAAGUCUCGUCGUAGUCAAUCCCUUGAACUUGUCGAUAACCCUUAGCGACAAGUCGAGCCUUAUAGAUGGUAACAUUACCAUCCGCGUCCGUCUUCUUCUUAAAAAUCCAUUUGUUUUCUAUCGCUCGCCGAUCAUCGGGCAAGUCUAUCAAAGUCCAUACUUUGUUUUCAUACAUGGAUUCUAUCUCGGAUUUCAUGGCUUCAAGCCAUUUGUUGGAAUCCGGGCCCGCCAUCGCUUCUUCAUAGUUCGAAGGUUCAUUGUUGUCUAACAACAUGAUUUCUAGGACAGGGUUGUCGUACCACUCUGGUGCGGAACGCGUCCUUGUGGACCUACGAAGUUCAGUAGUAACUUGAUCCGAAGUACCUUGAUCAUCAUCAUUGUUUUCCUCUUCAGUUGGUGUGGGCAUCACAGGAACGGUUUCCUGCGCUGCGCCACUUUCCCGCUCAAGAGGUAGUACUUCAUCGAGUUCUACUUUCCUCCCACUUACUUCUUUCGAGAGAAACUCUUUUUCCAGAAAGCAUCCGUUCUUGGCAACAAAGAUCUUGCCUUCGGAUCUUAAGUAGAAGGUAUACCCGACAGUUUCCUUAGGGUAUCCUAUGAAUACGCAUUUUUCCGACUUGGGUUCGAGCUUUUCAGGUUGAAGUUUCUUGACAUAAGCAUCGCAUCCUCAAACUUUUAGAAACGACAGCUUAGGUUUCUUUCCAAACCAUAAUUUAUACGGUGUCGUCUCAACGGAUUUAGACGGUGCCCUAUUUAAAGUGAAUGUUGCUGUCUCUAGAGCGUAUCCCCAAAAUGAUAGCGGUAAAUCGGUAAGAGACAUCAUAGACCGCACCAUAUCCAAUAGAGUGCGAUUACGACGUUCGGAAACACCGUUUCGCUGAGGUGUUCCAGGCGGCGUGAGUUGUGAAACGAUUCCACAUUUCCUUAAGUGUGUACCAAAUUCGUGACUUAAGUAUUCUCCUCCACGAUCUGAUCGUAAGAAUUUUAUCUUUCGGUCAUGUUGAUUCUCUACCUCAUUCUGAAAUUCUUUGAACUUUUCAAAGGUCUCAGACUUGUGUUUCAUUAAGUAGACAUACCCAUAUCUACUCAAGUCAUCAGUGAGAGUGAGAACAUAACGAUAUCCUCCGCGAGCCUCAACGCUCAUUGGACCGCACACAUCGGUAUGUAUGAUUUCCAACAAGUUGGUUGCUCGCUCCAUUGUUCCGGAGAACGGAGUCUUGGUCAUUUUGCCCAAGAGGCAUGGUUCGCACGUGUCAAACGAUUCAUAAUCAAGAGACUCUAAAAGUCCAUCGGCAUGGAGCUUCUUCAUGCGCUUGACACCAAUGUGACCAAGGCGGCAGUGCCACAAGUAUGUGGGACUAUCGUUAUCAACUUUAAAUCUUUUGGCAUCUACACUAUGAACAUGUGUAAUAUUACGCUCGAGAUUCAUUAAGAAUAAACCAUUGACCAUCGGAGCAUGACCAUAAAACAUAUCUCUCAUAUAAAUCGAACAACCAUUAUUCUCUGACUUAAAUGAGUAGCCAUCUCGUAUUAAAUGAGAUCCAGAUACAAUGUUCAUGCUCAAGCUUGGCACUAAAUAACAAUUAUUAAGGUUCAAAACUAAUCCCGUAGGUAAAUGUAGAGGUAGCGUGCCGACGGCGAUCACAUCGACUCUGGAACCAUUCCCGACGCGCAUAGUCACCUCGUCCUUCGCCAGUCUCCGUUUAUUCCGCAGCUCCUGCUGUGAGUUACAAAUAUGAGCAACGGCACCGGUAUCAAAUACCCAGGAGUUACUACGAGUACUGGUGAGGUACACAUCAAUCACAUGUAUAUCAAAUAUACCUUUGGUGUUGCCUGCCUUCUUAUCCGCUAAGUAUUUGGGGUAGUUCCGCUUCCAGUGACCCUUCCCCUUGCAAUAAAAGCACUCAGUCUCAGGCUUAGGUCCAUUCUUUGACUUCUUCCCGGUAACUGGCUUACCAGGCGCGGCAACCUCCUUGCCGUCCUUCUUGAAGUUCUUCUUACCCUUGCCCUUCUUGAACUUAGUGGUCUUAUUGACCAUCAACACUUGAUGUUCUUUCUUGAUUUCAGCCUCUGCUGACUUCAGCAUCGAGAACACUUCAGGAAUGGUAUUUUCCAUCCCCUGCAUGUUGUAGUUCAUCACAAAGCUCUUGUAGCUUGGUGGGAGCGACUGGAGGAUUCUGUCAAUGACCGCCUCAUCUGGGAGGUUAAUGUUCAGCUGGGUCAUACGGUUGUGCAACCCAGACAUCUUCAGGAUGUGCUCACUGACAGAACUAUUUUCCUCCAUCUUACAACUGUAGAACUUGUCGGAGACAUCAUAUCUCUCGACCCGGGCAUGAGCUUGAAAAACUAGUUUCAGCUCUUCGAACAUCUCAUAUGCUCCGUGGUGCUCAAAACGCUUUUGGAGCCCCGGUUCUAAGUUGUAAAGCAUGCCGCACUGAACGAGGGAGUAAUCAUCAGCACGAGACUGCCAAGCAUUCAUAAUGUCUUGGUUCUCUGGGACGGGAGCGUCACCUAGCGGUCCUUCUAGGACAUAUUGUUUCCUGGAAGCUAUGAGGAUGAUCCUCAGGUUCCGGACCCAGUCCGUAUAGUUGCUGCCAUCAUCUUUCAGCUUGGUUUUCUCUAGGAACGCGUUGAAGUUCAUGUUGACAUUAGCGUUGGCCAUUGAUUUACAAGACAUAUUUGCAAAGGUUUUAGACUAAGUUCAUGAUAAUAAAGUUCUAAUCAAAUUAUGAACUCCCACUUAGAUUAGACAUCCCUCUAGUCAUCUAAGUGUUACACGAUCCGAGUCGACUAGCCCGUGUCCGAUCAUCACGUGAGACGGACUAGUCAUCGUCGGUGAACAUUCUCAUGUUGAUCGUAUCUUCCAUACGAUUCGUGUUCGACCUUUCGGUCUCCGUGUUCCGAGGCCAUGUCUGCACAUGCUAGGCUCGUCAAGUUAACCCUAAGUGUUUUUGCUGUGUAAAACUGUCUUACACCCAUUGUAUGUGAACGUAAGAAUCCAUCACACCCGAUCAUCACGUGGUGCUUAGAAGCGACGAACUGUAGCAACGGUGCACAGUUAGGGGAGAACACUUCUUGAAAUUUUAUAAGGGAUCAUCUUAUUUACUACCGUCGUCCUAAGUAAACAAGAUGCAUAAUACAUAAUAAACAUCACAUGCAAUUAUAUAGUUGUGACAUGAUAUGGCCAAUAUCAUAUAGCUCCAUUGAUCUUCAUCUUCGGGGCUCCAUGAUCAUCUUGUCACCGGCUUGACACCAUGAUCUCCAUCAUCAUGAUCUCCAUCAUCGUGUCUUCAUGAAGUUGUCACGCCAACGACUACUUCUACUUCUAUGACUAACGUUUAGCAAUAAAGUAAAGUAGUUUACAUGGCGUUCUUCAAUGACACGCAGGUCAUACAAAAAAUAAAGACAACUCCUAUGGCUCCUGCCGGUUGUCAUACUCAUCGACAUGCAAGUCGUGAAUCCUAUUACAAAGAACAUGAUCUCAUACAUCACAAUUCAUCAUUCAUCACAACUUCUGGCCAUAUCACAUCACAUGAUCAAUUGCUGCAAAAACAAGUUAGACGUCCUCUAAUUGUUGUUGCAUCUUUUACGUGGCUGCAAUUGGGUUCUAGCAAGAACGUUUUCUUACCUACGAAUCACCACAACGUGAUUUUGUCAACUUCUAUUUACCCUUCAUAAGGGCCCUGUUCAUCGAUUCCGCUCCAACUAAAGUGGGAGAGACAGACACCCGCCAGCCACCUUAUGCAACUUGUGCAUGUCAGUCGGUGGAACCGGUCUCACGUAAGCGUACGUGUAAGGUUGGUCCGGGCCGCUUCAUCCCACAAUACCGUUGAGCAAGAAAAGACUAGUAGAGGCAAGUAAGAUGACAAAAUCCACGCCCACAACAAAGUUGUGUUCUACUCGUGCAAAGAGAACUACGCAUAGACCUAGCUCAUGAUGCCACUGUUGGGAACGUUGCAGAAAAUUAAAAUUUUUCCUACGGUUUCACCAAGAUCCAUCUAUGAGUUCAUCUAAGCAACGAGUCUAGGGAGAGAGUUUGCAUCUACAUACCACUUGUAGAUCGCGUGCGGAAGCUUGCAAGGUGAUGAUGUAGUCGUACUCGACGUGAUUCAAAUCACCGAUGACCUGCGCCGAACGGACGGCACCUCCGCGUUCAACACACGUACGGAAACAGCCACGUCUCCUCCUUCUUGAUCCAGCAAGGAAGGGAGGAGAGGUUGAGGGAGAUGGCACCAGCAGCAGCACGACGGCGUGGUGUUGGUGGAGCUGCAGUACUCCGGCAGAGCUUCGCUAAGCGCUAUGGAGUUGGAGGAGGUGUUGGGGAGGGAGAAGGAGGCAACCAAAGGCCAGGGCACAAGGUAUGAAGUCCCUCCUCUCCCCCCCACUAUAUAUAGGGGUGCCAAGGGGGGGUGGCCGGCCCUAGGAGAUCAAAUCUCCUAGGGGGUGCGGCGGCCAAGGGGGGAUUCCCUCCCCCCCAAGGCACCUAGGAGGUGCCUUCCACUAGUAGGACUCCUCCCCCUUGGAAACCCUAGGCGCAUGGGCCUUGUGGGGCUGGUGCCCUUGGCCCAUGUAGGCCAAGGCGCACCCCCUACAGCCCAUGUGGCCCCCGGGGAUGGGUGGCCCCACCCGGUGGGCCCCCGGGACCCCUCCGGUGGUCCCGGUACAAUACCGAUAACCCCGAAACUUGUCCCGAUGCCCGAAACAGGACUUCCCAUAUAUAAAUCUUUACCUCCGGACCAUUCCGGAACUCCUCGUGACGUCCGGGAUCUCAUCCGGGACUCCGAACAACAUUCGGGUUACUGCAUAUACUUAUCCCUACAACCCUAGCGUGACUGAACCUUAAGUGUGUAGACCCUACGGGUUCGGGAGACAUGUAGACAUGACCGAGACUCUCUUAGUCAAUAACCAUCAGCGGGAUCUGGAUACCCAUGAUGGCUCCCACAUGCUCCUCGAUGUUGUCAUCGGAUGAACCACUAUGUCGAGGAUUCGAUCAAAACCCUGUAUGCAAUUCCCUUUGUCAAUCGGUACGUUACUUGCCCGAGACUUGAUCGUCGGUAUCCCAAUACCUUGUUCAGUCUCGUUACCGGCAAGUCACUUUACUCGUACCGUAAUGCAUGAUCCCGUGUCCAACACCUUGGUCACAUUGAGCUCAUUAUGAUGAUGCAUUACCGAGUGGGCCCAGAGAUACCUCUCCGUCAUACGGAGUGACAAAUCCCAGUCUCGAUCCGUGUCAACCCAACAGCUACUUUCGGAGAUACCUGUAAUGCACCUUUAUAGUCACCCAGUUACGUUGUGACGUUUGAUACACCCAAGGCACUCUUACGGUAUCCGGGAGUUACACGAUCUCAUGGUCGAAGGAAGAGAUACUUGACAUUGGCAAAGCUCUAGCAAAACGAACUACACGAUCUUUUAUGCUAUGCUUAGGAUUGGGUCUUGUCCAUCACAUCAUUCUCCUAAUGAUGUGAUCUCGUUAUCAACGACAUCCAAUGUCCAUAGUCAGGAAACCAUGACUAUCUGUUGAUCACAACGAGCUAGUCAACUAGAGGCUCACCAGGGACAUAUUGUGGUCUAAGUAUUCACACGUGUAUUACGAUUUCCGGAUAAUACAGUUAUAGCAUGAAUAAAAGACAUUUAUCAUGAACAUUGAAAUAUAAUAAUACUUUUAUUAUUGCCUCUAGGGCAUAUUUCCAACAAUUGACUCAUACGGGUCAAAUCUGGUCAACUGGGGGGUCAAACCCAGUCAACCCGCUGGCGUUUAGCCGCCGGCGAGGCCGAACGCGGCGGAGGGGCACAUGAUUCGCUUUUCGGCGACCAUUUGGACGGCGGAGUCCAUGGGCGAGGAGCCAGGGCUCGUCCGCGUCUUCUGGAGCAAGCGGGAGAGGCGGGGUGGCCUGAGCUCGCCGGAAACGAGCUCGGGCGGCGGCCGGAGCACGGCCAGGUGCGUGCGGGGUGCUGCGGGGCACGGCAGGAGCUGUGGGCGGCGGCGUUGGUCUUCUGGGAGGUUGCUGAGUGCGGUGGCCCUGGCCACGGCGGCGACAUGGCCGACGGCGUGGCGCUCGCGGGUUUGAUGGUUAACAGGGCUACGGCACGAAAUCGAGCACGGGGAAGGAGGGGAAACGGAGGAGAGCUCACAGCGGUCUCGACGGCGUCAUGCGUGAGCUCGGGGAUGCACUGGUGCGGCCGGAAUGACGGCGGCGAUCUCGAGCGGCCGGAGGUGAAGACGACAAUGGUGGCGGCGAUGCAGCGCGUCCCUGGUCGCUUGGCUCCUCGAGGAUGAUGCAGGCGACGAGGCGGGGCACCCGGACACGAAGAGAGGGCGAGGGGAAGGCGGUGGCCGCGCGGGUAGCGAGCGGCGGCGACGAGCUCCGCUCGGGCGGGUCGAGAGAGAGGGAUCCAGAGGAGGAGGGAGAACGAGAGAGAGUGAGAGAGGCCUGGGGGGUCUGGCGUUCGUAGCGGCCUCCAGCAGCAGCGGCAAGCAGGAGCUGGCCGAGCACGUGCGCGCGUGCGGCGAGCACACGCCCCUGUCCUCCUGGCGAGAGGAGAGGGACGAUUGGCAGGGCCAGCUGGCUGGGCCGGCCAGCUGGGCCGCACAGUGCCAUGCCUCAAGUGAGCACAGGUAAGUUUUUCCAUUUCCGUUCCCUUUUCUAUUUUUCUGACAUUUGUUUGAUUUAAAAAUAAUACCAAACUAAUUUAUAUUCUUAUGUCAAUUUUUGUAGGAGCUAGUGGUAUUAUUCCAGAGCUCCUCAUUAACUAGCAUAAUUUUUGGACAAUAUUAUAUAUAUAACAAUAUAUAUCCAAAACAAAUCAUUACUGCAUUAAUUUCAAAUGCCCAAAAUAAAUAUCUAUGAGCUCCUGGAAAUAUUGGUUUGAAUUUUAACUCUGACCAAUAUUUUCAGAGAGUAACAUGAACAUUUUCUUGAACCUUUUUGGAGUAAUUUUUAUCUGGGUCAUUUUCAGAAAUGAUUUCUAAGGGUUUCACAAAUCUCCAUUUCAAAUUUAAAUGAAAUUUAAAUAUGAUGCACACAUGACUGGCUAGUCUAGGUCAUACCAGAACUAGGGAUGUGACAAAAAACAACCAAACGGGCUAGACAUGCGCGUUACACAGGCCGAAACAAGACAACCCACUUCCAGCGCGAAUCUUGAAGCGAACAAAGAUCCAACGGAUGACGUGUCGACUGAGAUUUAGCGAGUCCAUUAUUGAUACCUUCAUUCAUGGGUAGUUUUAAUGCUUAAAUCAUUUAAGUAAUAAAGCGCCCUUUUCUGGAAAAAGAUCAUGGGUAAUCUUAUGACGGACGAACAUAAGCAAUAUAUGUUUUAUUAUUACUAGCAUAGAUGCCCGUGCGUUGCAACGGGAAACAAAAAAACCUGACUUCACUAACCCAAUGCUCAAGACCGCCUCCUCCUCUCACCAUGACCCAUCAUCAGACAUGAUGUCAUCAACAAACUCCUUGAAAUCCUCCACACUGCCACACGAGAAACAGAAUAAAUAUUAGGAGCGUUGUCCAAAGACCCUCCAUCUUUGGCUAAUAUAACAGAGUAAAGUGCGGAGUUUGUGUCACACACAGUAGGAACUCCGUGUCCAACUCCUUGUACUUUGGUGGCGGGCGCUAGUGGGUCGAGCUGAAACAUAAUAGUGAAGAUUUGUUUUGGUCUUAGAAAAAUAUAUCAUAUGACCAACAAAUAAUAAAAAGUUUUUAUUGUGAUUUAGACAUAGUUUUUUUGCAUGUGUUAUCGCAAUAUUUUGAUCUUGAGUUAAACAGUUUUGACACGUCAAAUAUUAGUAUCACAAUAUUGUAUCUUGGUUUUUGACGUCAAUAAUUCAUAUAUAAAGAAGUAGUUUACCCAUGGCAGGUGCACCUAAACACAACACCUCUCAAUUUAGCUAAAAAAUGCGGUUUAAGAUGAUUUAGACACAAAGAAGAAAUUCAUCAGUUCAAUAACUGAAUAAGCCUCGGAGCAUGUAGAAAAACUAUGACAUUUUUGGGCCAUAAUUACCAAAUGUCGUGUAUAUGGGGUGAAGCAAUUCUUGGUCUUUGUUCAUUUAAAAUGGUAUUUAAUUUUUCUUGUCGAAUAUCUUAUUGUUUUUCAACAAACAUAUAUUCUAAUUAGAUUGGAAUCGCAUUAUAAUUUAAUUUAACUUUAAACUUAUGUUUUGUUUUACUGGUUAAAUUUUACAUUUAAUCCCUGUAACUUAAUUUUAAAUAACAGAAAUAUAUUUAAUACUUUAUUUCUUGUAUAUUAUUUUGCAAUUCACAUGUAAAUGAAGUUGUAUUUUUUAUCCAUGCAAUUAAUAAAAUAUGUCUAAUAUUAUUAUCGGAAAUUAUAAUGCACGGAUGUGUCUGCUCAUCCCUUCAAGCGCGAUAGGCGCCACGCCAUUUAAUGUGUGAGACCGGUCAAGCGUGUGAUAAUGAUUCGAUUGCUUGCUAUUGUCAUGUCCCCGUGGAUGAUGUUGUGUAAGUCGUGCGUUAGUGCAUCCCAUUAUGUUUUUUUGAACAACAUAAAAUCUUGAUCAAUCACGAUCUAAGUUUUUUUUUUUAAUGCAAAGGCAUCUAAUUUUGUAUGUGCUCACGUUAAUCUCAACUUGUAUGCACGUUUCCAUAAAAAAAACUUAUACAUAGAUCGGACCGGAUGCUCAUGUAUGAUGAUCCCAUUGCAUGUUACUGUCAUGGUUGCCGUGGGUGAGGACAGGGCGUCGACCUGUUGGCUGGGCAGCUGAGGUUGCUGCCAGCCCACCCAAGUUCGAGUCCCGGCACGGACGCGUGGUGCUCACGGAGUUUCUCCUAUAAAGAAAAGCCAACGAGGGUUAGCCCUUGGGUUGGUCUCAUUUUUUUUUUAUGGUUGCCGUGGGUGAUGCUCUGUAAAUCGCGCCUUAGUGCAUCGCAUUAGUUUUCUGAAAAACUCAAAAUGUUGAUUGAUCAUGAUCUAAGUUUCUUUUUUAUGGUGUGUUCUGAUGCACGGCACGCCAACGAAGGGGUUGCGCGUGAAAGCAAAAUUGUGUCUCUUGCGAAAGGAAAGAAACAGAAAACAUAUUUUUUCGUUUUUGAGAGGCACGGCCGUGACUCUUGCUAAAGUACAACCGUGCCUCUCGCGGAAACAAAACCGUGACUCUCGCGAAAGGAAAAAAAACAGAAAACACAUUUUUUUUCCGUUUCCGAGACGCACGGCCAUGACUCUCGCGAAAGCAUACCCAUGCCUCUCGCGGAGGCAAAACCGUGACUCUCGUGAAAGGAAAGGAAAAACAGAAAAUGUGUUUUUUUUCGUUUCCGAGAGGCACGACCAUGACUCUCGCGAAAGCACACCCGUGCCUCUCGCGGAAGCAAAACCGUGACUCUCGCGAAAGGAAAAAACAAAAAACGCGUUUUUUUCGUUUUCAAGAGGCACGGCCGUGACUCUCGCGAAAGCACACCCGUACCUCUCGUGGAAAAAAAAACAUGACUCUCGUGAAAGAAAAAACAAAAAAAAUGUGUUUUUUUGUUUCCGAGAGGCAUGCCCGUGGCUCUCGCGAAAGCCAAACCGUGACUCGCGAAAGGAAAAAAACGCGUUUUUUUGCGCAAUUUUUUUUAAAUCAAAAAUCUAAAGAAGACCAGCGAAAAAUCAGGACGUCGAAAAAACCCGUUUAAAAAGCCGAAAAGGCGUGCAGAAAUAAAACAAAAUCCGGAGCAAGCGCCGAAAGCGCGACACGUGGCGAAUGGCUGAGAGCGCGUCAAAUGGCGCUGAUUGUUGCGAGGCUCCCGAAGGAGUGCUCGUUAACCUCAUGGGUAAUCUUAUGACGGACGAGCAAAAGCAAUACAUGCUUUAUUAUUAUUAUAUAAAUUAUAAAUGUAUAGGGAAAGAAAUUUCUUCUCAAGAAUAUAUUGUAUAUAGCAGAUGAAACUAAGCUGCUGUGUAUUGUGUUUGUGUCCGAUCCCUAGUCCCUACACCUUGAUGUCUAUAGUGUGCUCCACCGCAGCCGACGACGCGUCCACCGUCAAAGUGCGCACGGCGGGCGAGCCAAGCGACGGGUGAGUCACCGUGAAGUUGUACUCGCCGUGGACGAGGUCCAGCUCGGUCACGCCGUUGGCGUCCAUGGUGGCGCCCUCCGGGUGCGUCCUCCAUUCAGCGAUGAGCUUGUCGACGCGGUCGCCGGCGGGAAGAUUCUUGAAGUUGUUGUCCGUGAGGCACAUGGCCCAGCAGCCCUGCGCGUGCCAGGCCGCCCACAUCACCAUGCCCUCCACGUUGGGGUGCCCGUAGCCUUCCCUCAGCACCUCCUCCAGGUAGAUCGGCACGUAGGGGCCGGCAUUCCGGUUGACGUCGACCUCAGUGAGCCAGAUGGGGACCCUGAGCUGCGCGAGCAUGUCCAGCGUCGCCCUCAUGUAGGGGAUGUUGGGCGUGCCGAAGUGGCUCUCGAGGCCGACGGCGAGCUUGAUGCCGCGGUUGCCGGGGUAGGAGCGUAUCUGCUGCAGCUUGGCGACGUACUUGCUGGACAUGGCAGCCGCGUCCAGCGGCUCCUCCAGCGUGCCGAACUCGUUCAUGAACAGCCUCGCCGUCCGGUCGAUCCGCGCCACCCGAUGGUACACCUCGGACGACGCGUUGCGGCCGAGCCUGCUCUCGAAGAAGUGCCCGUGGAGGUUCUCGUUCACCACGUCCCACGCGAUGACCUUGCCGGCGUACCGCGACACCACGGAGCUGAUGCGCUUCUGCAUGGCCGCCUUGAGCCGCUGCGCGUCCAGCGGCUUCACCCACGACACCUGCGUGUCGUUGGUGUCCCAGAGCACGUUGUGGCCGCGCACCGCGAUGCCGUGCUUCUCGGCGAGCCGCAGCAUGGCGUCCGCGACGGUGUAGUCCUCGUGGUUCUCCAUCCACUCCGUGCUGUACCACUUCAUCUCGUUCUCGAAGCUGGCCACGGUGAACCGGGACGCGAACCACUGCUCGUAGGCCGGGAUGUCGAGGAUCUCCUUGGUCAUGGCGUUGCCGAACGGGAAGCCGGGCCGGAGGAGCUUGACGCUCAGGUUGGCGUUCGGCAGUGGGACGCCGUCGGCGCCCCGGGCGACCACCUUGACGGCGCUCCGGCGGGUCUUCCCGGCCGACAGACGGCGUUGCUCGUCCCACUCGGGGAAGGAGAAGGGCUGCAGAGACACGCUGUCCACCCAGAUGUCCACCCUACCAUCGGCCUGUACAAGCGAACUUUAGUUUCCCUUUUUGGCGUUGAACAAUUAAUUCAUGCGUAAUCAUUCGAUCUACCUCGAAGAAGAGCUCGCCUGGGCCGGAAGCAAAGGCGGUCAUGCCGCCCUUGAGCAUGCUCCAGCAGCCGGACCUGGCGACGGUGGCUCCACCGGCGAUGAAGGCGCCGUUGGGAUCCUUGAAGACGGAUCUCACCACCGCCGUGCCGGACGAAACCUGCAACCAUGCUGCAUGCAUGCAUGCAUGGAGCCAUAUAUAUACGGGCACACAUGAGCAACAAGAAAAUACAGCAUAUCACAAGAUCACGAGUAAAUGACGAUGGUGCAGUACGGAGUAUAUGCUUGAGUUUACAUACCCGAGAGGGAGUAGUGGUGGGCGGUUUCCAUCUGGAUCUUCUGGUAGACGCUGCGCGACGGCUGGCCAUUGUUGCUCGCCGACGCCAACGCGAAGUUGUUGCCGGACGGCGAGCUGCUCACGUUGGCCGUCACGCCCCACGGCACCGACCAGCCCGUCAGGCCGCUGUUGAACUCGCUGUUCUCGAUAAUGCCGCCUUUGUACAGAGACCUCAUCGGGCUGCUCAAGCACUGGAUAACAAGAUCAAAACAACAUCCUUUAGUUUCAAGAUAAGAAGGAACACAAAUCCAACAAUAUAUCCAGUAAUUGGCAGAAAAAAGGUACUACUUGCCUUAAUGCUCGCGGUAUAAUCAUAGGGAACCGACUGGACCAUCCACCCUACAUACAUAUACAUCAUUAGCAUAUCUUACAAUGUGCAAUCGGUGGAAACUUGAAACACGCAGCAAACCGCAAGGAACUUCACUGGUGUUGGAAAUACAAACUGUGGUAAUAUGAACUUGGGAAAACUAACCUUCAAACAGCGAAAUGCAGAGCAAAAAAGCGAGCAAUUUCCCCAUGGUAACCACCAGUGUGUAUGUCACUUCUUCUUUUUUUUCCUUUUUUUUUCGAAGUGAUAUGUCACUUCUACUGAACUGGUGGUAUGUUUUAGUUGACGGAGAGAAGUGAAUAUAUAGGCAUAGGGUAAUUAAUCCGUGCUUGAUAAUGCCAAAGGCGGUGUGUUGCUGAUUGUUUCAAUCUUUGACUCUAAGUCAGCUCGAACGCAAAAAGGGGGGGAAAUCUUUGGCUCAAGCGGAAGACUAGGCAGGAGGAGCAACAUUUGUGCAUUAUGUGUGAAUGCAUUAAAAUCGUGCUACUUAUGGCUUUUUUUUCAAGGAAAAAGUGAAUUUUAUUUCAUAUAUUGAUAGGGUUACAAUCCAGAGAUAGUAAUUGCUCCAUACAAGGAGGAUCUUGACCAAGCCACACAGCGGUCAUCAUAAUAUAAUGCCCAACAAUCUGCUACCCUGUUUUGCUCUCUCGUAAGCUUCUAGAGAAUGAACUUCCGGCUACAACUAAGUGCCCAUACGCCGACCUGCUAAGUCUAGAAUCGGAAAGACUUGACAGUGCUGCAGAAGAUCAAGUCAGUAUCUUUUGUCCCACUAAAAAACCAUAUAUUUGGAUAUACAUGCAAGUAAUUAGUUUAUGCCAAAAUUAAGUCAAUACGAAUAGAUACCGUGAAUAUUUGUCAUAUAAUAAAUAAAGGAAAGCUUGGUAGCUAAUCAACCCAAUAUUCAACUUUGGGGAAUACUAAAUAUAGAAUUAAUUUUGCAUUCCAAUAUUCUUAGGAAAACGCUAUCUUACACCCGACGGAUGCACGCGCAGCGUCCGCCGCAUGCGUAGCCAUCGGAUCAAUCUUGAUCGAGCGCUUACGUUGGACGGCCACAAGUCGUGUGCAACCAAUUUUUUUGCAACAAUCGUAUUGUUUUUAGAAGGUUUCUACAACAGAGAUCUUGUUUCAGAAAUAAAUAAAUAAAGAUUCGGUGGUGAAGUUUUUUUCAGCAACAGGGUCUAAUUUUAGAAAGUUUCUGCAACAGAGGUCUUGUUUUAGAAAAAGAAAUGGUUCAGCAGCGAAGAUUUUUUUCUUCUGCAACAGGGAUCUUGCUUCAGAUACAUAGCCCCGGUUGUAGAAAGCAUUGGAGGAGCGCACGAUGUUAGAGUGUACGAGACCAAGCAUUGCAACACGACACAUGUUUCAGAAACGUAGCUUCAGUUGCAGAAAUCGUCAAAGGAGUGCCCAGCAUGGGAGCUCAUCGCCGUCAUGCUGGAGUAGAGGUCGUGCCUGUUCUCCAAGCAGGGCCCCUCGGUGAGCUCGAUUUGCGUCGGAUCCAAGCAUCUAACGUGUGAUAUGGUGCGCCAUUGUGUUGCGAAGAGUUUAAUUUAGCUCUUGCACACCGGCGGCGGGCUGAUUUUGGGGGCGGGUUGGCGGCGGCGCUGCGUUGGGCGCAGCUCUGUCGGGGCCGGGGUCAAGUUUGUUGUCUUUGUUUCUGCAACAACGCGCGUGUUGCUGGAAUAAUAAGGGGGGCAUGGGGGACGCGCACACUAGAUCGGACGGUGAUGUCUACUACACAACCUUCUUCUUGUAGACGUUGUUGGGCCUCCAAGUGCAGAGGUUUGUAGGACAGUAGCAAAUUUCCCUCAAGUGGAUGACCUAAGGUUUAUCAAUCCGUAGGAGGCGUAGGAUGAAGAUGGUCUCUCUCAAGCAACCCUGCAACCAAAUAAUAAAAAGUCUCUUGUGUCCCCAACACACCCAAUACAAUGGUAAAUUGUAUAGGUGCACUAGUUCGGCGAAGAGAUGGUGAUACAAGUGCAAUAUGGAUAGUAGAUAAUAGUAUUUGUAAUCUGAAAUUAUAAAAACAGCAAGGUAACUCAUGAUAAAAGUGAGCGUAAACGGUAUUGCAAUGCGUUGGAACAAGGCCUAGGGUUCAUACUUUCACUAGUGCAAGUCCUCUCAACAAUUAUAACAUAAUUGGAUCAUAAAACUAUCCCUCAACAUGCAACAAAGAGUCACUCCAAAGUCACUAAUAGCGGAGAACGAACGAAGAGAUUAUGGUAGGGUACGAAACCACCUCAAAAUUAUUCUUUCCAAUCAAUCCGUUGGGCUAUUCCUAUAAGUGUCACAAACAGCCCUAGAGUUCGUACUAGAAUAACACCUUAAGACACAAAUCAACCAAAACCCUAAUGUCACCUAGAUACUCUAAUGUCACCUCAAGUAUCCGUGGGUAUGAUUAUACGAUAUGCGUCACACAAUCUCAGAUUCAUCUAUUCAACCAACACAAAGGACCUCAAAUAGUGCCCCAAAAUUCUACCGGAGAAUCACGACGAAAACGUGUGCCAACCCCUAUGCAUAGGUUCAUGGGCGAAACCCGCAAGUUGAUCACCAAAACAUACAUCAAGUGAAUCACGUGGUAUCCCAUUGUAACCACAGAUACGCACGGCAAGACAUACAUCAAGUGUUCUCAAAUCUUUAAAGACUCAAUCCGAUAGGAUAACUUCAAAGGGGAAACUCAAUCCAUUACAAGAGAGUAGAGGGGGAAGAAAUAUCAUAGGAUCCAAAUAUAAUAGCAAAGCUCGCGAUACAUCAAGAUCGUGCCAAAUCAAGAACACGAGAGAGAGAGAUCAAAUACAUAGCUACCGGUACAUACCCUCAGCCCCGAGGGAGAACUACUCCCUCCUCGUCAUGGAGAGCACCGGGAUGAUGAAGAUGGCCACCGGAGAGGGAUUUCCCCCUCCGGCAGGGUGCCGGAACGGGUCUAGAUUGGCUUUCGGUGGCUAUGGAGGCUUCUGGCGGCGGAACUCCCGAUCUAAUCUCCGUUCUGGAAGUUUUACGAUACGUAGGUAUAUAUGGGUACAAGGGGUACGUAGGUGGACCGAAGGGGGGGCCACGAGGGAGGGGGCGCGACCCAGGGGGUGGGCGCGCCCCUACCCUCGUGAGCACCUCCUUCAUCUUCUGACGUAGGGUUCAAGUCUAUCCGGUAGGUUUCCUUCCAAAAAUAACUGCUCCAGUUGAUUUCAUUCCGUUUUGACUCCGUUUGAUAUUUCUUUUCCUCGGAACACUGAAAUAGGCAUAAAACAACAAAUCUGGGUUGGGCCUCCGGUUAAUAGGUUAGUCCCAAAAAUAAUAUAAAAGUGGAAAAUAAAGCCCAAUAUUACCCAAAACAGUAGAUAAUAUAGCAUGGAGCAAUCAAAAAAUUAUAAAUACGUUGGAGACGUAUCAGUUGCCAGCCAAGGGAUAAACACGAGAGACUGCCUGAACUCCUUCAAUGGGCUGGGUGAAGCUUUGACGAUCAACAUUGUGAAGAUAAAUUGGAUCCUUUGCAGGCUCUGGGUAAAUAGCUUCAACAGACAGAUCAACCUCUGGCAAGAAUACAAGAUGAUUGCGCGCAGAUGGCUGAUAGUUGAAGGCAGAGUGAAGCUUGAUAAGACGCAUUACCCAUGGAGCAUAGAACUUCAGACCAAAGAUGUCGGAGCCAGAUGCAGCCAACUGCCUGAUGAAGAAGUCUUGAGCAUUGAAGUUUAUGCCAUUGAAGAUAUAGAAAACCAAAGUCUUCAUUGCUCCUUCAAGCUUCGCUGUAGAUGAAUGUCCUUUGACAGGCCAUAGAGUCUUUCUGAUGAUAUGGUAAAUGGUGCGGGGCAGAUACUCUAGGUCUUCAACAAAGAAUUCGGUUGGGUAUUUAGCGUCGCGUGGCAAAGGCUUCAUCAUGCUCAGCAUUUGACUCAUGAAGAUGGUCUCUCUCAAGCAACCCUGCAACCAAAUACAACAAAGAGUCUCUUGUGUCCCCAACACACCCAAUACAAUGGUAAAUUGUAUAGGUGCACUAGUUCGAUGAAGAGAUGGUGAUACAAGUGCAAUAUGGAUAGUAGAUAAUAGUUUUUGUAAUCUGAAAUAAUAAAAACAGCAAGGUAGCAAGUGAUAAAAGUGAGCGUAAACGGUAUUGCAAUGAUGGUAAACAAGGCCUAGGGUUCAUACUUUCUCUAGUGUAAGUUCCCUUAACAAUACUAACAUAAUUGGAUCACAUAACUAUCCCUCAACAUGCAAAAAAGAGUCACUCCAAAGUCACUAAUAGCGGAGAAGGAACGAAGAGAUUAUGGUAGGGUACGAAACCACCUCAAAGUUAUUCUUUCCAAUCAAUCCGUUCGGCUAUUCCUAUAAGUGUCACAAACAGCCUUAGAGUUCGUACUAGAAUAACACCUUAAGACACAAAUCAACCAAAACCCUAAUGUCACCUAGAUACUUCAUUGUCACCUCAAGUAUCCGUGGACAUGAUUAUACGAUAUGCAUCACACAAUCUCAGAUUCAUCUAUUCAACCAACACAAAGGACCUCAAAGAGUGUCCCAAAGAUCUACCGGAGAAUCACGACGAAAACGUGUGCCAACCCCUAUGCAUAGGUUCAUGAACCCGCAAGUUGGUCACCUUAACAUACAUCAAGUGGCACGCGGUAUCCCAUUGUCACCACAGAUAUCCACGGUAAGACAUACAUCAAGUGUUCUCAAAUCUUUAAACACUCAAUCCGAUAAGAUUACUUCAAAGGGGAAACUCGAUCCAUUACAAGAGAGAAGAGGGGGGAAGAAACAUCAUAGGAUCCAAAUAUAAUAGCAAAGCUCGCGAUACGUCAAGAUCGUAUCAUCUCAAGAACACGACAGAGAGAGAGAGAGAUCAAACACAUAGCUACUGGUACAUACCCUCAGCCCCGAGGGAGAACUACUUCCUCCUCGUCAUGGAGAGCACCGGGAUGAUGAAGAUGGCCACCGGAGAGGGAUUGCCCCCUUCGGCAGGGUGCCGGCACGGGUCUAGAUUGGUUUUCGGUGGCUACGGAGGCUUCUGGCGGCGGAACUCCCGAUCUAAAUUCUGUUCUGGAAGUUUUAGGGUAUAUGGAGUUAUAUAGGCAGAAGAAGCACGUCAGGGGAGCCACGGGGGCCCCAUCAGGCAGGGGGCGCGCCCUAGGGGGGUGGGCGCGCCCCCCACCCUCGUGGGCAGCUCCCGUAUCUUCUGACGUGGAGUCCAAGUCCAUCAGGUGUGUUUCCUUCCAAAAAUAACUUCUCCAGUUGAUUUCGUUGCGUUUCGACUCUGUCUGAUAUUCCUUUUCUUCAAAACACUGAAAUAGGCAUAAAACAACAAAUCUGGGCUGGGCCUCCGGUUAAUAGGUUAGUCCCAAAAAUAAUAUAAAAGUGGAUAAUAAAGCCCAAUAUUGCCCAAAACAGUAGAUAAUAUAGCAUGGAGCAAUCAAAAAUUAUAGAUAUGUUGGAGACGUAUCAGACGGCUAACAGCUCAGGGAUCCAACGGCUUUUCAGGCGGCGGAUAAUUUCAGUACAUCUACCGACGGACGCGUAGCAGCGCCCAUAUUCUUAGGUCACUCUCAAUUCAUUGUAUCUUAAUCCUGAAACAUGCUAUAAUCGGAAACCCCCGGCACAUGGAUCACAACAUCACCAAACAUACACCCAACGAAAAUACAUAGACCAAGGCAUCGGAGAACACCAAAUGGACGGUGCAUUCAUCAAGAAGCCGUAGAUGCCUUCCUAAUAUCGACGUUGCAUCCAUCAAGCAGCCGUAGACGACUUCCUAAUACCGCCAUUCUUCUUGCUUUUGAUCCUAAAAUACUUCUAUUUCAGGCUGCGGAUCAGCCAGCGCGCCUCUUCUCAAUUUCCCUGGCGAUUAGGAUCCAACCAAUUGUCUUGCCAAAUUCAGGGUAGCAGCCUCCAAGCUAGCAAUAAAGUCGUAAAGCUUUAAUGCGAAAAGAGCAUUGCGAGUAGGUGCAAAUGCACCGGACGCAAUGACCUUGUGACCCUCUGAACCACUUACCUGAUAGACUCUAGCGAGUGAAAGACAAUAGCAUCCAAACCUACGCGCUCCAUGAAGGCGAGAGGUUGGUUGGGUUCCAGUAAUGGCAGUGUGGGCGCUAAGGUCACAAGCAAGACUACCCCUAGAUGCACCAUCAAAAGAGACAAACCAGCCACCCCACGUAGUUGCUGAAGUUCUAACAUGGUUUGAGAAACCGGAGGAACGACCCGAAGAUGGCCUCAAUUCCAGAGGCAGACGGCACAACGGACGGUGACUUCAAGACCUGACACAAGGUGAGAAACAACCAUAGAGGUAUGUUUUCCCCUCACUCAUGGAACCCAAGAGCUAGGCCAGUAGAGGCACAACUAGGAGCCCUCCAAGAAGAGCCUGUGGCUCACCAAAAUCCUCCGAACUCUCAUUAGGCAACCUUGCAGUUCAGCUUGUUGCGUGAGGACGCUCUGCAAUGAUACAUCUAUCGGGGUUGCAACGUUGGCGUGUAAAGGCAUUGUGGGAAGCGGUGGUGCAACACAUCAGAGCUGCGUAUUCAGGUUGAUGGAGAGCUUUGCAUGGCCAAAUCAAAUGGUGUCACCGGGUCAUAGGUAGUUCGUGCACCGAAUUGCGUCCCUGCGGGAGCGGGCUCAACGACCUUUUGAGAGGCACCAAAAGCAUUGGUCCCUCAUCCACGCCGGAGGAGCCACAUAUGUGUUGCAAGCAGGAUGGUGGAAGGCCGGUGAAGGCGGUGAGCCGCAACGCCUUGCCUUGACGAGGUGUUAGUCCCCAACAAUUCCCCACGACGUGUUGGAUCGCAACACAAGUAAGUAGCAGGCUUCAUGUCUCGGUUGAUACAACUACACCCUUCACCCUAACCAAGGCGCAUGGGAGAGGCCACUAGGGCGAACAUGUCACAUCCAGCAAUGGCACGCGACAAACUUGUGAGGACGACCGGUGUAGGAGGUGGCAGCAACGUUCGAGGAGUGGUCAUCAUUGAGGUCAGGUUCUCAUCGUUGGGGGAAGCCAGACGUGGGGUCGGCGUGGAUGGCCAGGCGUAGAAGGUGAUGGGGACCCAAGCACCUGCUCAAUCUGGUUAGGAGCACGUCCCUCCUGAGGCGGCGGAGGCGGCCUCCAAAUAUGGUGCGGCAACUGGGGUAGCCAACGCCAGAGGAGAUGGGUCAUGGGGCCGGUAGGCGUGCCCAUGCAGAGGCGGCAGCGGGGACCCGAGCCUCCUAGGAGUUGACACACAUGUACCUAUAUAUUGUGAGGGGGCAGAGCUCGGCGUCCACCCCAUUUCCAGGCAUGGCAUAGGCAACACAAUGAUCUUGUCUAGCUCCUCCCAAUAUGGAACGGGCAAGGGUGGUGGAGGAAGACAGGCCGUCACUGGACUCCACCUGAAGGGAUCGAUGUCGUGGGAGUUGUAGCAGGCCGGAGGAGGCACCGGUCAAGGUAGUGGGUCCAGAGUUGGUGCCUUUGCAGCCUAGGGAAGGAGUGAGCGUGCCACCAACCAUCCUCCAAUGGCAGGAACGGAUUUGCGGAUGGCAAGCGCGACCACAUGAAAAGUGGUGGUGUGCAGCGGGGCCGGAGUGAUUGUCGUCAUGGGGGCGUGUCGGAGCAGUUUCCAUUGACAAUAGUAACAUUUUUGUAUAAAACUAUGUUGCUUAUAGAAGUAUGUAUCAAGUUCUUGUCCACAGGUGUUGAAUGAACGUGGUCCAGUGAUAACGAUGCACCGGUGGUUUCUGAGUUUUCGGUCCUUGUGCCUCACAGUAUACUUGUCCUUAGAAGAUUUCUUAUAGUAAAAUACAAGAGGAAAUACAAAAAGACUUUGACAAAUCUUUAAGCUUCAAGCAUCCCUUGAAUUGUGUGUGACCGCCAACUAUCGUACCGACACCCAUUUCAAAGUUUUGAGGGAGGGAGGAGGGGAUUGCAAAAAGAAAAGAAAAAGGAAACAAAAGAUGGGAUAACGGCACAGGGUGACGCCUAUGCAGAGGGUGUGCUAUUGUUAAUUAUGGUUCAGCCUUAUCUCCUCAUCCUAAGGUUAAUUAGUCAGGAGUCAGGACCCUAAUAACCAGCGAACGUUUCUGGGAGGGAGUGUGGCAAUUACGAACCUUCUUUAUGGCAAUUUCUUUCAAAACACAUGACAAAUUCUGGCAAACAGAGCAUUUGCUGCGGAAACUGACAUGUUCACAUGAAGGAAUUGUCAUACACCCAACACUGCGGAAACUUAGUUUUGACAUGCACAUUCAGCGAACGUUCGUUGAAUAGCAUCACAGUUCACAUUUUCAGCAUGAUCUUCUCAGUGUAUUUUUUCGCAAGCUUUUCAAAAGAAAGAGGAAGCAGACAACUAAACUGCAGCUGGCUCCAAUAGUUCCUUGGGCUGAAAUUGUGAAGCUAUCGAGCCUCGAUGGCACCUCUUCCUUGGAUGGACUCAUGGACAUAUGCCUGCCUGCAUUUUCCCUCCGGCCACGCCAUCGGCCUCUCCAUCGCCUGUCCAUGCCCGCCCUUAGCAGGACAAUUCAUCGCCGACGCAUCAUCGUAUAUAUCCAGCCCAAAGCCACAACAGAGAACUCUAGACCGCUGGCCACAUCCUCUGCUGGCCUGGAGUCUUUGGAUACCCUUUUUUCUUAGACGUUUAUGGGUGCUUUCUGUUGGAGUCUUUGGACACUCUUUCCAUAAAGCGAAAGGCAGUGACAAAAUACGUUGCGAAAACAACACACAUUUGCCAAAAUUACACUCUUCCCAUAAAACGGAAGGCGGUGACAAAAUACGUUGCGAAAACAACACACAUUUGCCAAAAUUGACACGCUGUGAAGCAUGCACACCCAUGCAUCUACGGUGUCCGACGACGACGCCAGAGCUUUAGCUAGCUGUCCACAACAACAACGGCCGAGCAGGACGUGAGCAACGUAUAUACGUGGCCGGCGAACCCAUAGCUUCAGCUAGCUGUUGUGGACAGCACAACGGCGGUCGAGCAGGACAUGAGCCAGAUGGCGGGCGAACCCAUAGCCUGAGUUAGCUCUGCACUGCACAGCACAGCAACGGCAGAGGUGGACAUGAGCCACAUGUGCAAGCUUGGACGUACGUGCAUGGCUUGUGCGUGAUCGUCAUGCAUGCAUGCAGAGCACGAGGCGAGGCGGCAACUUUUCGUCCCAGCCCUUGUAGGUAUAAACCACCCUCGGCCCGCCCUCGCGCUAGCAGAUAUACAUUGAGUCAAUGACCAGUGUGUAGUAAGCGGUGAAGUGAGGGUUCUGGUUGCAGUUUCUGGGCUCGGCGCCCUGUUUUUAACGGGGGCUCGCGUCUUCGUCUCAGCCACCAAGCCACUGCUCUCGCCUGAACUAUUUUCUGCCAUUGGAGCUCAGGAGCAAAAGCCUAUAGUCACUAGUCCAUCAAAGGUUGUUCGGAUGGCUGUCAUCGGGACGGCGGGGGCGGAGGUACUGAUACCGCUGGCGGCGGUGAUCGGCAUCGCCUUCGCGGUGUUCCAGUGGUACGUGGUGGCCAAGGUGCCGGUCCCAUCCCACGACGGCGAGGAUGGCGGCGGCGCCGCCGCCCAGAAAGGCCGCAGCGGGCACGAUGAGAGUGCGGAGGACGGCGUGGACUACCGGCAGGUGGAGGCCCGGUGCGCCGAGAUCCAGCACGCCAUCUCCAUCGGUGCCACGUCCUUCCUCUUCACGGAGUACAGGUAUACACACGCCUUUGAUGUCAAAUUUUGCUUUCCAAAAUGUUUUUGGUGCCACUUGCAUAGAGAUGAAAAAUAAAAAACACGCUAGUAAUAUAUUGUUUCUUUUUAUUACUGUUAGUAUUAUUUUUAGCAAGUAAUAUUGGCAUGUUUUUGAGGUUGCGUGCUGAUUCAACUUAAUUACAGAUGACUAGCAAAAAUCAUGGUACAAUGCAACAAAAAAAAACACUUUUUGCGGAAAAUGCCAAAAAAAUGUUUGGCUUCUAGUAUAUAGUACUGAUAGUGCCAAAAAAAAUGUCUUAUAUUUGUUACGGAAGGAGUGUAAUAUAAUAUUUUUCUCUUAUUGUUAUUUUUAGCAAUUAACAUUUGCAUGCAUUUUUAUCUUAUGUGAUGAUUAAACUUAAAAAAAUACUAUAUGAAUAACUGAAAUCAAGGUACAAAUGACAAAAGAUAUAUUAUUUGCAGAAAAUACUAAUAAAAUGUUUGGGUAAUGUUAUUCAGCGAACCCUCACAGGGGGUACAUGACCAGAGAAACGUCUUUCGCGACAAUUUAUGUGUUGGUAGCAUGGCAAUUCUUUCAAGCGAACACUGCAAUUUCACAGCAAAAUUCUUUGUUUACCAGAAUUUGCCAUGUGUGUUUGAAGAACUUGCCAUAAAAAACACAAAUAAAUGCCGUGCUUCCAGGGGUAUAUGUUUGUCUUAGCAAACGUUCUCCUAAUAAAUAUUUAGCCAGACAAAAAUUUCAUCAAGAUUUUGCUUGCCGCUGUCGGCCAACAUUUACAGGAAAGAAAAGAAGGAUUGGCCUGUACCAAAAAAUUGCAAACAUCCGAGUAUUUAACAAAAAACUACCACAUUUCAUGGAACCGUGCCUACAAACUACCACUUUACAAAUUUGUGCCGAAAACUACCAUUUUCGACUAUUUUUUCUCAAAAAACACUAAUUUCUGCCUCAUGGUAGUUUGCUGAAAUUAAACAUGAUUAUGACAGGGAUGGCCCACACUUAGGCGCUGACAUGACACAGUGGUCAACUCCUAGGCCGUGCCGCACGAGAGAUGCACGCGAGCCACGCGCCGCGCCCGCCCCCACCGCCGGCCGGCGAGCAGCGCCACCUCUGCCAUCGGUCGAAGCCAGCGUCGUGUGCUAGCUAGCCGGCCAAUGGAGCAUUGCGGUCGUGCUAGCAUGCAGCCGUAGCAGCUUGUGUGCGUGCACAGCCGUGCACGUAGCCGCCGUNNNNNNNNNNNNNNNNNNNNNNNNNNNNNNNNNNNNNNNNNNNNNNNNNNNNNNNNNNNNNNNNNNNNNNNNNNNNNNNNNNNNNNNNNNNNNNNNNNNNNNNNNNNNNNNNNNNNNNNNNNNNNNNNNNNNNNNNNNNNNNNNNNNNNNNNNNNNNNNNNNNNNNNNNNNNNNNNNNNNNNNNNNNNNNNNNNNNNNNNNNNNNNNNNNNNNNNNNNNNNNNNNNNNNNNNNNNNNNNNNNNNNNNNNNNNNNNNNNNNNNNNNNNNNNNNNNNNNNNNNNNNNNNNNNNNNNNNNNNNNNNNNNNNNNNNNNNNNNNNNNNNNNNNNNNAUGGCGGCCGCCAUCGUGCCAAGGCCUCGCCCGCCGCGAGCGUGUGCGCCGUCGGCCGCGAGCGCGUGCUCCGUCCGCCGCUUGCGCCACACAUCGCUCCGCCCAGCCCGCGCCACCCGCCGCUCUUCCCCGCCGGCCGGCGUGCCCCGCCACCUGCGCCGCCCUCCCUCCUAGCCGAGCCGCCUGCUCGCCUCGGCCAUGGCGGCCGCCAUCGUGCCAAGGCCUCGCCCCGCCCCGCUCGGCCCUGUCGACCGAGCCCCCGCCUUUGCACCUCGUGUACGCCAUCGACGGGGAGACCAGCGCCGAAGAGGUGCUUCGCCGGGGCGCCGCUCUGCCCCGCCGGAGAAGAGCGUGGAGUACAUACGAGGUGUUUGAGGAAAUGCCAGAAAGAGAGGAGGAGGAGGAGGAAGAAGAUUCAUGCUGAUAUGUGGGCCCAUCCUGUCAGAAAAGCGUUUAGAAGAGGCCAAUCGGGCACUUUUCUGAGAUGGUAGUUUUUAGUCAAAGAUUAGUCAAAAAGUGAUAGUUUUUGGCACAAAUUUGUAAAGUGGUAGUUUGUAGGCACGGUUUCGCGAAAUGUGGUAGUUUUUUGUUAAAUACUCCAAACAUCCAAACAAGCAAAAACAUUUGUCGAAAAAAUGGUAUGAUGGGUAUUGAAUUGGCCAGUAUCUAAGCAUGCCCAAAAAAUAUUACCUGGUGAUGAACUAGAUUUUCACUUGAAAUGGGUGGAUUCCUACCGAAGUUUGAAGAAAUUCAUUAAAAUAUGAAUUGUAUUGAGUCUGGCUUGAACUCGUGUGUCAGGCGAAUAUUUUGACAGAUAGUCAAAAAAUUUAUCCUAUUGAUGAAUUCAGGUACCUCGCCGUGUUCAUGGCUGGGUUCGCGGUGGUGAUCUUCAUGUUCUUGGGGUCGGCGCAGCGUUUCAGCACGCGGCCAGAGCCAUGCACGUACGACCCGGCGCGGCUGUGCCGGCCGGCGCUAGCGAACGCGGCCUUCAGCAUGAUCGCGUUCCUCCUGGGCGCGCUCACCUCCGUCAUGUCCGGGUACCUCGGGAUGCGCGUGGCGACGUUCGCGAACGCGCGCACGGCGCUCGAGGCUCGCCGCGGCGUGGGGCGCGCCUUCGUCGUGGCGUUCCGGUCUGGCGCCGCCAUGGGCUUCCUCCUCGCGUCCAGCGCGCUGUUCGUCCUCUACGUCGCCAUCAACCUCUUCGGCGUCUACUACGGCGACGACUGGGGCGGGCUGUACGAGUCCAUCACCGGCUACGGCCUCGGCGGCUCGUCCAUGGCCCUCUUUGGCCGCGUCGGCGGCGGCAUCUACACCAAGGCCGCCGACGUCGGCGCCGACCUCGUCGGCAAGGUGGAGCGCAACAUCCCCGAGGAUGACCCUCGCAACCCCGCGGUACGUACUGAGAAUUACUACCAAAGUUGAAAAAAAUACUCCAUGUUUUCCAUGCAUGUCCCUGACCCUGAGACGAUCGAUGCUGUGCGCGUGCAGGUGAUCGCUGACAACGUGGGGGACAACGUCGGCGACAUCGCCGGGAUGGGGUCGGACCUGUUCGGGUCGUACGCGGAGUCGUCGUGCGCGGCGCUGUUCGUGGCGUCCAUCUCGUCGUUCGGGACGGAGCACAACUUCGCGGCGAUGAUGUACCCGCUGCUCAUCAGCGCCAUGGGCAUCGUGGUGUGCUUGGCCACCACGGUCGUCGCCACCGACCUCGCCGAGGUGAAGACCGUCGAGGAGAUCGGGCCGGCGCUCAAGCGGCAGAUCCUCAUCUCCACCGUGCUCAUGACCGUCGGCAUCGCCAUCGUCAGCUUCCUCGUCCUGCCCCACAGCUUCACCCUCUUCGACUUCGGCAGGCGCAAGCUCGUCAAGAACUGGUACGCCAACUCGAUCUGAGACUCGAUCUCGUCGUACUACGCCAUUUUCCUUGAGAUCCUCAAUUUAGUACAAAAUGCAAAUUGAUACACUUUUAUAUUCAUGAACAAUUAUCGAUGGAUUUGACAUUUGGUUUUGUAUGACUUUGCGAAUGCAGGUACCUGUUCAUCUGUGUGUCCGCCGGUUUGUGGGCAGGUCUUGUCAUCGGCUAUGUCACAGAGUACUUCACAAGCAACGCUUACAGGUAAUAGAAAUUAUACAACUUACAAAAAUUGCACGAACUUGAGCUAAGACGGGAUAGAUGCUGAUUACUUAAUCUCUGCUUAAAUUGUUCGACGCAUGUAUAUGUAGGCCGGUGCAGGCGGUGGCGAACUCAUGCCGGACGGGAGCGGCGACGAACGUGAUCUUCGGGCUAGCGGUGGGAUACAAGUCGGUGAUCGUGCCCAUCUUCGCCAUCGCGACAGCCAUCUACGCCAGCUUCCGCCUCGCCGCCAUGUACGGCAUCGCGCUGGCGGCGCUGGGCAUGCUCAGCACCAUCGCCACGGGGCUCAGCAUCGACGCCUACGGCCCCAUCAGCGACAACGCCGGCGGCAUCGCCGAGAUGUCCGGCAUGCCGCACGUGGUCCGCGAGCGCACGGACGCACUCGACGCCGCCGGCAACACCACCGCCGCCAUCGGCAAAGGGUUCGCGAUCGGGUCGGCGGCGCUGGUGUCGCUGGCGCUGUUCGGCGCCUACGUGAGCCGCGCCGGGGUCGCGGCGGUGGACGUGCUGAGCCCUCGGGUGUUCGCGGGGCUGCUGGUGGGGGCCAUGCUGCCCUACUGGUUCUCGGCGAUGACCAUGCGGAGCGUGGGGAGCGCGGCGCUGGCGAUGGUGGAGGAGGUGCGGCGGCAGUUCGACAGCAUCCCGGGGCUGAUGGAGGGCACGGCCAAGCCGGACUACGCCACCUGUGUCAAGAUCUCCACCGACGCGUCGCUCAAGAAGAUGCUGGCGCCCGGCGCGCUCGUCAUGCUCAGCCCGCUGGUCGCCGGCACGCUGUUCGGCACCGAGACGCUGGCCGGGCUCCUCGCCGGCGCGCUGGUGUCGGGAGUCCAGGUGGCGAUCUCAGCGUCCAACAGCGGCGGCGCCUGGGACAACGCCAAGAAGUACAUCGAGGCCGGCGCGUCGGCGGAGGCGCGGGCGCUGGGGCCCAAGGGGUCGGACGCGCACAAGGCGGCGGUCAUCGGCGACACCAUCGGCGACCCGCUCAAGGACACCUCCGGCCCGUCGCUCAACAUCCUCAUCAAGCUCAUGGCCGUCGAGGCGCUCGUCUUCGCGCCAUUCUUCGCCGCGCACGGCGGCCUCAUCUUCAAGCACCUCUGAGUUUGAAUUCCGAGUUCGCUCGGCUUGCUGCCUGGACCUGGAUGGCCAAGCAGAAGGCUUUCGUUGCCAAUAAUAACCUCUAGACUGGGAGAAUUGUAUGAGGUGAUGAAUGGUUAAUGGUUACUUUAGUUUCGGACUUUAUUCGAGUGCAAACCCGCCUUAGAAAUAAGCUCGUGGUGUAGCAAAUAGUCACUCUUAAGGCAUGACUUCUAAAUGCAGCAUGGAUGCUCGUCUCCGGGCCUUCAGCAGAGUGCCAUCACCGUGAGGCUGUGUUUGGCGCCGGUGGAUUAUCUUAAUCUUGCUUGUUUAAUCUCUCUGAUUUACUUCCUCCGUCCCAUAAUAUA
rnacentral:lncRNA from 1 species